rnacentral:rRNA from 1 species
ACACAUGCAGUCGAGCGGUAACAGAUCCAGCUUGCUGGAUGCUGACGAGCGGCGGACGGGUGAGUAAUGCAUAGGAAUCUGCCCGAUAGUGGGGGAUAACCUGGGGAAACCCAGGCUAAUACCGCAUACGUCCUACGGGAGAAAGGGGGCUCCGGCUCCCGCUAUGGGAUGAGCCUAUGUCGGAUUAGCUAGUUGGUGAGGUAAUGGCUCACCAAGGCAACGAUCCGUAGCUGGUCUGAGAGGAUGAUCAGCCACAUCGGGACUGAGACACGGCCCGAACUCCUACGGGAGGCAGCAGUGGGGAAUAUUGGACAAUGGGGGAAAGCCUGAUCCAGCCAUGCCGCGUGUGUGAAGAAGGCCCUCGGGUUGUAAAGCACUUUCAGCGAGGAAGAACGCCUAGCGGUUAAUACCCGCUAGGAAAGACAUCACUCGCAGAAGAAGCACCGGCUAACUCCGUGCCAGCAGCCGCGGUAAUACGGAGGGUGCAAGCGUUAAUCGGAAUUACUGGGCGUAAAGCGCGCGUAGGUGGCUUGAUAAGCCGGUUGUGAAAGCCCCGGGCUCAACCUGGGAACGGCAUCCGGAACUGUCAAGCUAGAGUGCAGGAGAGGAAGGUAGAAUUCCCGGUGUAGCGGUGAAAUGCGUAGAGAUCGGGAGGAAUACCAGUGGCGAAGGCGGCCUUCUGGACUGACACUGACACUGAGGUGCGAAAGCGUGGGUAGCAAACAGGAUUAGAUACCCUGGUAGUCCACGCCGUAAACGAUGUCGACCAGCCGUUGGGUGCCUAGCGCACUUUGUGGCGA